CUUCAACGAGCCGAGCCACAGCGGGCGUUCGCCCGUUCGCUCCUGGCCGUACGUCGCCAGCAGGGCCUGCGCCUC
rnacentral:antisense_RNA from 1 species